AGACGCGGGGUCAGCGGCUCAGAGCGCGGCUGUGUGGGGCUGCGGGGCUCCCGCCAUGCCCGCUGGGGUAGGUCCUGCGGACCCCGGCCACUGGAGCCACUCAUCAUUUCCGACGGAUGGGCCGGAGGGGCCGCCGGCCGCCCCAGCCAGGGUCUCGGUAGCCUGCAAGGAGAGAAAGAGGGCGCGGAAUUGGAAGCAGUCGUCACCCGGAGGCCUGGGCGUGCAAGCACCGAAGCUCUGGCUGGCCCUGAGCCUCCCCACCCCACCCGCUCUUUUCGCUGGAACGCGUGUACUUUGGGCAGUUGCUGACGUGGAGACAGGACGUAUGUCUUCAUAUUUUAGUAAAACCCAAUGCCCUCUGCCUCUCUGAUUAUGUUCUUUAAGUUAUCGCCAGUUCCAAUUUGUAUUUCUUGGAAACGGUUGGGUCUUCCCUCACUUUUCAGUAUUUUCAUGUAGACUCAAAUACUCUGGAUUAAUAUUUGUAUUUGCCCAAACCAUCACGAGC
rnacentral:lncRNA from 1 species